rnacentral:rRNA from 1 species
UACAGAGGUCCCGAGCGUUGUUCGGAUUCACUGGGCGUAAAGGGUGCGUAGGUGGCCUAAAAAGUUUGAUGUGAAAGCUCAGGGCUUAACCCUGAAAUGGCAUUGAAUACUGUUGGGCUGGAGGUUUGGAGGGGGGACUGGAAUUCUUGGUGUAGCAGUGAAAUGCGUAGAUAUCAAGAGGAACACCAGUGGCGAAGGCGAGUCCCUGGACAACACCUGACGCUGAGGCACGAAAGCCAGGGGAGCGAACGGG